rnacentral:rRNA from 1 species
UAGAAAUAUAGUGGAGGUUAUCGAGGUGACAGGUGGUGCAUGGCUGUCGUCAGCUCGUGUCUUGAGAUGUUUGGUUAAGUCCCGCAACGAGCGCAACCCCACUCUUUAGUUAACUGUCUAAAGAGACUGAACAGUAAUGUAUAGGAAGGUUGGGCUCACGUCAAGUCAUCAUGCCCCUUAUGCCUUGGGCUGCAAACGUGCUACAAUGGCGAACACAAUGUGUUGCAAAUCAGCGAUGGUAAGCUAAUCACUAAAUUUCGUCUCAGUUCGGAUAAAAGGCUGCAAUUCGCCUUUUUGA